rnacentral:sRNA from 1 species
GCUGGGUGCGGUGGCGCACACCUAUAAUCCCUGGGACUCAGGAGGCUGAGGCAGGAGCAUUGCAAGUUCAUGGCCAGUCUCAGUGACUUAGUGACCCUGUCUCAG